GAUCAUGGCUCAGGAUGAACGCUGGCGGCGUGCCUAACACAUGCAAGUCGAACGAAGCACUUACCGUGAUCCUUCGGGUGAACGGUCUGUGACUGAGUGGCGGACGGGUGAGUAACGCGUGGGUAACCUGCCCUGUACAGGGGGAUAACAGCCAGAAAUGGCUGCUAAUACCGCAUAAGCGCAGGCCGUGGCAUCAUGGCUUGCGGAAAAACUCCGGUGGUACAGGAGUGGGCCCGCGUCUGAUUAGCUUGUUGGCGGGGUAAAGGCCCACCAAGGCGACGAUCAGUAGCCGGUCUGAGAGGAUGAACGGCCACAUUGGAACUGAGACACGGUCCAAACUCCUACGGGAGGCAGCAGUGGGGGAUAUUGCACAAUGGGGGGAACCCUGAUGCAGCAAACCGCCGCGUGAGUGAAGAAGUAUUUCGGUAUGUAAAGCUCUAUCAGCAGGGAAGAUGAUGACGGUACCUGACUAAGAAGCUCCGGCUAAAUACGUGCCAGCAGCCGC
rnacentral:rRNA from 1 species